rnacentral:rRNA from 1 species
GAGUUUGAUCCUGGCUCAGGAUGAACGCUGGCGGCGUGCUUAACACAUGCAAGUCGAACGGGGCCACCAUUUUUGAAGCGAUUAGCUUGCUAAGAGUGGAAAUGUUGGCGGCUUAGUGGCGGACGGGUGAGUAACGCGUGGGUAACCUGCCAUAUACAGGGGGAUAACACUUAGAAAUAGGUGCUAAUACCGCAUAAGCGCACGGAGCUGCAUGGCUCAGUGUGAAAAACUCCGGUGGUAUAUGAUGGACCCGCGUCUGAUUAGCUUGUUGGCGGGGUAACGGCCCACCAAGGCGACGAUCAGUAGCCGGCCUGAGAGGGUGGACGGCCACAUUGGGACUGAGACACGGCCCAAACUCCUACGGGAGGCAGCAGUGGGGAAUAUUGGACAAUGGGGGGAACCCUGAUC